rnacentral:rRNA from 1 species
GACGAACGCUGGCGGCGUGCCUAAUACAUGCAAGUAGAACGCUGAAGCUUGGUGCUUGCACCGAGCGGAUGAGUUGCGAACGGGUGAGUAACGCGUAGGUAACCUGCCUGGUAGCGGGGGAUAACUAUUGGAAACGAUAGCUAAUACCGCAUAAUAGCAGUUGUUGCAUGACAACUGUUUAAAAGGUGCAAUUGCAUCACUACCAGAUGGACCUGCGUUGUAUUAGCUAGUUGGUGGGGUAACGGCUCACCAAGGCGACGAUACAUAGCCGACCUGAGAGGGUGAUCGGCCACACUGGGACUGAGACACGGCCCAGACUCCUACGGGAGGCAGCAGUAGGGAAUCUUCGGCAAUGGACGGAAGUCUGACCGAGCAACGCCGCGUGAGUGAAGAAGGUUUUCGGAUCGUAAAGCUCUGUUGUAAGAGAAGAACGAGUGUGAGAGUGGAAAGUUCACACUGUGACGUAUCUACCAAAA